GCAUGCCUCUGGUUUAGUGUUUUGCUGCCAAUAUUUAUUUUAUAACAUAGUUGUUUCUUAAAAAAACAAUAUGUAUAUUGAAUAAUUUUCUCCAGUGUCCUACAGUCAAGUCUUUAAAAAGGUUCAGUAAGAUUUGGAUUAAGAACACACCGAUCUGCUUCAGUUUUCUGGAAAGCAUAACACUUCUCAUCCUCCACAUUCAUGUGAGAAGAGUUAUCAAAUGAGGUCUGAUUUAAUUAAAAGUAGGUAUAAUCUCCACAAACAUAUGAGAGCCAGUCAGAAAAAAAGAGAGGAGAGGUGGAAGGAGGCACAACAAAGCCUGCUGCUUCCCCCUGCAUCUCCAGCACUGCACUUAUAUGAAACUUCCCACUCUUCACGCUAUAGAAAAAGAGUCUGAAAAGGGGCAGGAAAAUCAACCACAGUCACCUCAAGAGCACACCAGUCUUCCUGCUGUAUGGAGGAGCCUCUUUUGCCUGGGAUCAUGCAGGCAUGGCAAUACGUGCUGAGGUGUGAAUUUAGUGCUAUAUUGUCUGCAAGCUACUACGAGACACAUACUUGGUUAAGUACCUACUUUGCAGUGAUUUCUCCUAAGUCUGGAUGUACCCUGGGACUUCCAAAGGCUAUGCUGUUCCAGAUGUGCCCCUUGACCAGCCUGUAGCUCCCUGUUUGGACAAGGCUCAGAAGCUCAUGGCUUUUCCCUUCCCUGUUUCCAUGGGAAGAAAACCAGGUUGUGAAACUUGAAGAUGUGACUAAAGGGAAAGAGAGCUGAGGCUGGAAAUGUCUGAUGUGGAAGACCAAGUGCAAUGUAAGACCCUCUAUCUCCCGAGAGCAUCUGUCCUUCUCCCAUGAAGAAAAGGUACAUGAGGCAUUCAUAGAGAAAAGAGAAUGACAACAUGCAAGGAGGAGGCUGGCACUCUGACUGCUCAUAAAGAUGGCCAUGCAGUAAAAGUACCUGAUCAGAAUCAAAUGCAGCAUUGGUUUAUGAUGGCAUUCCUCCAGGCAGCAUCGGGCUACUUGCAAUCACUAGGCUCAACAGGUCUUGCACAGAGCAUGUCAUCAUCAUGGCACAUCCACUGCCUCACGUAUUCCUUGACCAAGUCUGGACAGUAGUAUGCAGAAAUCUAUUAGUGAAUAGAUAGCUGCUGUUCUUACAUUGGCUUUUUGGCUGAUGGAGAUGGUAAUCUCUUUAUUCCUUUACCUUAUAUUUGGACAGUUCUACGGUUUAGGCCUCCUCUGAUUCUCUUAGCAAUCAUGAUUCUAGGGGAACCAUGGGAAUUGGAAUAGAGACACAAUGCUAUAUUUAUUUAUUUACUUAUUUAUUUAUCAUGGCAAUAUUACACAGAAUUUCAAUAUUUUUUUCAUUAAAUAUAUUUACCUAUAAAGUGUUCAUAAACCCACAUUUCAAUGACAAAGUUUGUCUUCUCCACUUGUUUUUCUGCUGUAGCAAAAGCACUCUUCUCUUCCUACAAAUUUCCUUAUGUACCUGGUUUCUUCUCAAAGAUUUUCCAGGAUUCCUAAAGGUACCCAGUAAUGGCUAAACAAUUGCUGUCAUGGCCUCCUUGCACCUGUGUGCUAAUCAGAUCAAAUAACUUCCAGAGAGAGUGGGAUUUGGAACAGAAGUGAGCUGACUCCAAAGGACUUGAGUGCUGUAGAGAGCAGCUGGUCCUUCUCCAAAUAUUCUGGAGCACAGGUAUCGCAGAGCAGGCUGUCAUUAUAUCCAGCACAUGCACUAUCAGUGUUGAAAACCGGCAGACAGCUGCUGGGUGGAUAAAAGUGACCAUAUUCCGUGCAAACACUGCUGCUCCAUUUCAUCACCAGCUGUUAAGGGACUUUUCCUGUUUGUGAUGGUUGAUAGCCCUUAUUGUGUCACAGGGUGUGCUUAUGUCACCAAAGUCACUUGCAAGAGCUAUGUGAUUUUCUGAUGGGUUUUGCUGCCAUGUUUUUAUCUGCAAUGAUUUUGCAAAUAUUAAUGAAAUAUUACUAAAU
ensembl:lncRNA